rnacentral:rRNA from 1 species
AUUGAACGCUGGCGGCAUGCCUUACACAUGCAAGUCGAACGGCAGCGGGGGAGAAGCUUGCUUUUCCUGCCGGCGAGUGGCGAACGGGUGAGUAAUACAUCGGAACGUGCCCUGUAGUGGGGGAUAACUAGUCGAAAGAUUAGCUAAUACCGCAUACGACCUGAGGGUGAAAGUGGGGGACCGCAAGGCCUCAUGCUAUAGGAGCGGCCGAUGUCUGAUUAGCUAGUUGGUGGGGUAAAGGCCUACCAAGGCGACGAUCAGUAGCUGGUCUGAGAGGACGAGCAGCCACACUGGGACUGAGGCACGGCCAAGACUCCUACGGGUGGCAGAAGUGGGGAAUUUUUGUCACUGGGCGAAAGCAUUUUCGAGCAAUGCCGCGUGUGUGAAGAAGGCCUUCGGGUUGUAAAGCCCUUUUGUCCGGAAAGAAAUGGCUCUGGUUAAUACCUGGGGUCGAUGACGGUACCGGAAGGAUAAGGACCGGCUAACUACGUGCCAGCAGCCGCCGUAACAC